GAUCAUUCCUCGGGGUGCUCUGCCGCCAUGAGUGCACGCAUGGCGGUAAGGGCUGAGAUAAUACCCGUUGAACCUGAACAGGGUAAUUCCUGCGAAGGGAAGGUGUACAUUUUUUCU
rnacentral:ncRNA from 2 species